CAUGAUAAUUUAUCGCGAAGUUUCUUUAUAUUUUAUGAACAUAAAAAUAUAUUUGUAAAAAGCUUUUUCGGAAUUUAUAUUUCCAACAUCAAACGGCAUUUGCAAGAUUGUUGUAAGGACCUUUAUGAAAUGGAAAUUGUCAAUCAAGAUGAAGAAGAUAUUCAGGAGAAAAAACGGAAGGUUUCUGUUAUUUUUUUCUCAAAAUGAUAAAAAAGAUAGCCUGGCGAGCCACUUUAUCUUGGGGACUUUUAUAAACAUUUUUAAACUUACACUUAAAGUGAAAUCAAGAAAUGCUCACAGUUCUCUAUUAGAAAACUGUCUUAAAAAAAGACAGAAAGAUCUAAUGGAUAAUAAAAUUGUCAUUCCGGCUAUUUAUCUCGACGCGUGUCUUAAAAACUUAUGAUGCAAAUACACAGUUAAAAAUUUUCUUUUAGAAUAUAAUUCCAUCUCCAUCUAGCCAAAUUAAAUUAGCAAAAGUUGCUUCAAUUGAACACGAUGAUUCAAACUGUAGUUCCAUUCUUAAUGAAUUUCUAAAUUCAAUUGCGAGCGUUAAAGACGAUCAGUUCAACCCAAAACCAAUAAAUAUUUAUAAGGACGAAUUAGCAUGUCAUUCACAUUUUUUAAAAUAUAUUUUGAUAUUUGUUUGUUAAAGUAUUAAAUAAAUAAAAGCUUAUACUAUUUUGAAUAUGAU